UACGGAGGGAGCUAGCGUUAUUCGGAAUUACUGGGCGUAAAGCGCACGUAGGCGGCUUUGUAAGUAAGAGGUGAAAGCCUGGAGCUCAACUCCAGAACUGCCUUUUAGACUGCAUCGCUUGAAUCCAGGAGAGGUGAGUGGAAUUCCGAGUGUAGAGGUGAAAUUCGUAGAUAUUCGGAAGAACACCAGUGGCGAAGGCGGCUCACUGGACUGGUAUUGACGCUGAGGUGCGAAAGCGUGGGGAGCAAACAGG
rnacentral:rRNA from 2 species